rnacentral:misc_RNA from 1 species
AAAGUCGUAACAAGGUCUCCGUUGGUGAACCAGCGGAGGGAUCAUUACAGAGUCUCCCGACUCCCAAACCACUGUGAACAUACCGCUACGAUAUGCUCCGGCGGGCCGCCCCAGGGGGGGCCCCAGGCCGCAAGGCGCCCGCCGGAGCCAGGAAACCAGUCUCUUGCAGCAGUCUUCUGAGUCUACUAUAUAAAGUGUCACAACUUUCAACAAUGGAUCUCUUGGCUCCG